CUAUAAUGUGGGAGACCCGGGUUUGAUCCCUGGUUGGGGAAGAUCAUCUGGAGAAGGAAAUGGCAACCCACUCCUGUACUUUUGCCUGGAAAAUCUCAUGGGAGGAGCCUGGUAGGCUACAGUCCAUGGAGUCCCAAAGAGUCAGACACGACUGAAUGACUUUACUUCACUUACUUCUAGGAAGAAUCCACAUGCCAAAGAGCAACUGAAUCUGUGAGCCACAAUACUAAGCCCAUGAGCGGCAACUACUGAAGGCUUCAUGCUACAACAGGAGAAGCCACUGAAAUGAAAUAAGAAGCCCUUGCACGCACAACAAUAACACAAUAUGCUUUAUGCUAAAUAGGUAACAACUCCAUAUACAGUGCUUUUUGGGCAACGAGACUGUGAUGCCUCAUUGGAAGAGUGGCUGAAUGCUUCAGUGAGUCUGGGGUGAUGGGUAAACAGGUGUUUCCUGGUUCCAACUCUGUUUUAUCUCCUUAGAACACAUGAUGAAUAUGAAAAAUGUGCUAACCACAUAUGAAGUCCCCUACAGACAACCAGAAUUUCAGCAGGCAGCAGCGACCACCCAGCUGGAAGCUGGAAGAUUGACACGUGGGAACUUCAAGAUAUCCAAGAGUUAUCCGAGAAGAUUACCUUUUUGCCAAGAACUGACCGAAAUUCCUCAGUGAGAGGUGAGAGCAAAUGGUGGAAGAGAAGACAACUACAGCAAUGAAGCUCUGCUCGUAGGAAGAGGAACAGGUUGCAUCUUGAAGUGAAUUUGCUGCAACCAUUUGGAAGGAAACCUACCAGGUGUGGCUCCUGACAACUCUAACUCACAGAGAAAAUGAUAGCAUUUGCGGCUUGGAGAGUCAUCUCACAGAUCAGCCAUCCCACUCUUGGUAUACAGAUUUUAAUUUAGACUCGAUUAGAAAUUUUCUGAGCUACUGAGAAAUUAAACAUGGACUGAAUUGCCUCCCAUCAGGUAAUUAAUGUCAGAAUCACUGGUGAUAAAACAUAGUGAAAAAAUUGUAUCACAAAUAUAGUUUAAAAAGUACCCUAUUUAAAAAUCCAGAGAAUUGAGUUCUAGCUCAUGGGUUGCCCUUGAGCAGCUUGUGACCUUGGUGAAGGUCCUUGUGGGACUUUAUUUUCUUAACUUAUACAAUAAAAGGCUGAAGUUGGAGAGAUUCCAGUUCUAAUAAUCUAUUCUGUUUCUGCUUCAGUUGCCAACAGGCUAGGGGAAAAAAGAGAAUAAAAGGAAAGAUAUAAACAAAAGAACCCUGCAUUUAGUCAACAUUUGCCACUAAAAAAAAAUAAAUAAAUUACAAAAACAGUUCCCUUUUUUAAGAGGAAAAAUUUUCAUUAUACUUUAUUUUGACUCAGUUGCCUAAUUUCACUGAAUAACCUCUAAUUACAUUUAUUCAGACCUAAUGAGCUAAAUUAUA
rnacentral:lncRNA from 1 species